UUUUAUUUGAGAGUUUGAUCCUGGCUCAGGAUGAACGCUGGCGGCGUGCCUAACACAUGCAAGUUGAGCGAUUUACUUCGGUAAAGAGCGGCGGACGGGUGAGUAACGCGUGGGUAACCUACCCUGUACACACGGAUAACAUACCGAAAGGUAUGCUAAUACGGGAUAAUAUAUUUGAGAUUUGAUCCUGGCUCAGGAUGAACGCUGGCGGCGUGCCUAACACAUGCAAGUUGAGCGAUUUACUUCGGUAAAGAGCGGCGGACGGGUGAGUAACGCGUGGGUAACCUACCCUGUACACACGGAUAACAUACCGAAAGGUAUGCUAAUACGGGAUAAUAUAUUUGAGAGGCAUCUCUUAAAUAUCAAAGGUGAGCCAGUACAGGAUGGACCCGCGG
rnacentral:rRNA from 1 species